CCUACGGGCGACAGCAGUGAGGAAUAUUGGUCAAUGGCCGGAAGGCUGAACCAGCCAUGCCGCGUGAAGGUCAGUGCCCUAUGGGCGUUAAACUUCUUUUGUGCGGGAGCAAUAAUGGUCACGUGUGGCCAGACGAGAGUACCGUACGAAUAAGCAUCGGCUAACUCCGUGCCAGCAGCCGCGGUAAUACGGGGGAUGCAAGCGUUAUCCGGAUUUAUUGGGUUUAAAGGGUGCGUAGGCUGUGAGGUAAGUCAGCGGUGAAAUGCCCCCGCUCAACGGGGUGAAGUGCCAUUGAUACUGCCUGGCUGGAAUGCGGAUGCCGUGGGAGGAAUGGGUGGUGUAGCGGUGAAAUGCAUAGAUAUCACACAGAACACCGAUUGCGAAGGCAUCUCACGAAUCCGCGAUUGACGCUGAUGCACGAAAGCGUGGGUAUCAAACAGGAUUAGAUACCCUUGUAGUC
rnacentral:rRNA from 1 species